rnacentral:rRNA from 1 species
UACGGAGGAUGCAAGCGUUAUCCGGAAUGAUUGGGCGUAAAGCGUCCGCAGGUGGCUGUGUAAGUCUGCUGUUAAAGAGUGAGGCUCAACCUCAUAAAAGCAGUGGAAACUACACGGCUAGAGUGCGUUCGGGGCAGAGGGAAUUCCUGGUGUAGCGGUGAAAUGCGUAGAGAUCGGAAAGAACACCAACGGCGAAGGCACUCUGCUGGGCCGACACUGACACUGAGAGACGAAAGCUAGGGGAGCGAAUGGG